rnacentral:rRNA from 1 species
CCUAGGGGAGGCAGCAGUGAGGAAUAUUGGUCAAUGGGCGCAAGCCUGAACCAGCCAAGUCGCGUGAGGGAUGACGGUCCUAUGGAUUGUAAACCUCUUUUGUCGGGGAGCAAGGCCCGCCACGUGCGGCGGGAAGGAGAGUACCCGAAGAAAAAGCAUCGGCUAACUCCGUGCCAGCAGCCGCGGUAAUACGGAGGAUGCGAGCGUUAUCCGGAUUUAUUGGGUAUAAAGGGUGCAGGCGGAAUGUUAAGUCAGUGGUAAAAUGGCGGUGCUCAACACCGGCCUGCCGUUGAAACUGGUCAUCUUGAGAGGGCGAGAAGUAUGCGGAAUGCGUGGUGUAGCGGUGAAAUGCUUAGAGAUCACGCAGAACUCCGAUUGCGAAGGCAGCAUACCGGCGGUCAACUGACGCUGAGGCACGAAAGCGUGGGGAUCGAACAGGAUUAGAUACCCCUGUAGUC